ACUAAUAGUUCUUUUAAAUUUUUUUGGUUUAGAUAAAAUGAAAUUUUUUUUAAAAUUUAGGAUUUUUAGGUGAAAUUAAUAUCUUAAAGUUUAAUUUUUUUAUUGAUUUCUAUAAAUUAUAUUUUAAACUAGGAUUAGAUACCCUAUUAUUAUUAACUUACUAUAAAUACUUUAUUACUAUUAGUUAUGUUCUUUAAAGUAAAAGAAUUUGGCGGUAUUUUAUACUAUUCAGAGGAACCUGUUCUUUAAUUGAUAAUCCACGAUUAUAUUUACUUAUUUUUUGUUUUCAUAUCGUUGUUUAAAAUAUAUUAAUAGAUAAUAUUUAAUAUUUAAAUUAUAAUUUAGUUCAGAUCAAGGUGUAGCUUUUAUAAGUAGAAAUGGGUUACUUUAAUAAUAAUUAAGAAUUUAAAAUUUUAAAUUUUAAUGAAUUUGGAUUUGUUUGUAAUUAUAUAUAUUUAUAUAUGAUGAUUAAAGUUCUAAAAU
rnacentral:rRNA from 1 species